rnacentral:rRNA from 1 species
AGAGUUUGAUCAUGGCUCAGAUUGAACGCUGGCGGCAGGCCUAACACAUGCAAGUCGAACGGUAACAGGAAGCAGCUUGCUGCUUCGCUGACGAGUGGCGGACGGGUGAGUAAUGUCUGGGAAGCUGCCUGAUGGAGGGGGAUAACUACUGGAAACGGUAGCUAAUACCGCAUAAUGUCGCAAGACCAAAGAGGGGGACCUUCGGGCCUCUUGCCAUCGGAUGUGCCCAGAUGGGAUUAGCUUGUUGGUGGGGUAACGGCUCACCAAGGCGACGAUCCCUAGCUGGUCUGAGAGGAUGACCAGCCACACUGGAACUGAGACACGGUCCAGACUCCUACGGGAGGCAGCAGUGGGGAAUAUUGCACAAUGGGCGCAAGCCUGAUGCAGCCAUGCCGCGUGUAUGAAGAAGGCCUUCGGGUUGUAAAGUACUUUCAGCGGGGAGGAAGGGAGUAAAGUUAAUACCUUUGCUCAUUGACGUUACCCGCAGAAGAAGCACCGGCUAACUCCGUGCCAGCAGCCGCGGUAAUACGGAGGGUGCAAGCGUUAAUCGGAAUUACUGGGCGUAAAGCGCACGCAGGCGGUUUGUUAAGUCAGAUGUGAAAUCCCCGGGCUCGACCUGGGAACUGCAUCUGAUACUGGCAAGCUUGAGUCUUGUAGAGGGGGGUAGAAUUCCAGGUGUAGCGGUGAAAUGCGUAGAGAUCUGGAGGAAUACCGGUGGCGAAGGCGGCCCCCUGGACGAAGACUGACGCUCAGGUGCGAAAGCGUGGGGAGCAAACAGGAUUAGAUACCCUGGUAGUCCACGCCGUAAACGAUGUCGACUUGGAGGUUGUGCCCUUGAGGCGUGGCUUCCGGAGCUAACGCGUUAAGUCGACCGCCUGGGGAGUACGGCCGCAAGGUUAAAACUCAAAUGAAUUGACGGGGGCCCGCACAAGCGGUGGAGCAUGUGGUUUAAUUCGAUGCAACGCGAAGAACCUUACCUGGUCUUGACAUCCACGGAAGUUUUCAGAGAUGAGAAUGUGCCUUCGGGAACCGUGAGACAGGUGCUGCAUGGCUGUCGUCAGCUCGUGUUGUGAAAUGUUGGGUUAAGUCCCGCAACGAGCGCAACCCUUAUCCUUUGUUGCCAGCGGUCCGGCCGGGAACUCAAAGGAGACUGCCAGUGAUAAACUGGAGGAAGGUGGGGAUGACGUCAAGUCAUCAUGGCCCCUUACGACCAGGGCUACACACGUGCUACAAUGGCGCAUACAAAGAGAAGCGACCUCGCGAGAGCAAGCGGACCUCAUAAAGUGCGUCGUAGUCCGGAUUGGAGUCUGCAACUCGACUCCAUGAAGUCGGAAUCGCUAGUAAUCGUGGAUCAGAAUGCCACGGUGAAUACGUUCCCGGGCCUUGUACACACCGCCCGUCACACCAUGGGAGUGGGUUGCAAAAGAAGUAGGUAGCUUAACCUUCGGGAGGGCGCUUACCACUUUGUGAUUCAUGACUGGGGUGAAGUCGGAACAAGGUA